GCACCACCUUGCCCUCCCGCUGGGAACCUUCCCAGGUUAGAAUGUAAAUAAAUGCCUCUGCUUGCACUAGCCCAUCCCACCCUGCCCCCAGGUAGCCCUCCCCACACCGCCCUCAUUUCCUUCUAGCCCCGUGCCCUCCACCCCCAUUUCCUCUGGCUCCAGGCUCCUGCCGCUAACUGCCAAGGACACACAUGCUCACACCUGAGGGAGCAUUCAGUCUGCUCCCCUCGGAAGGGCCAUCACGGCCCAGGUGACGUACGCACUCUGCCUGGUCCGGGCUUCCCUGUGAGAACGUAACCAGUGCGGUGCGUCGAAGAUGCCCGGCAGGCUGGGCCGGCGCUAGCAGUCCACCGCGGCAGCCUGUGUCCAGGGGUGGCCGAGACUUUGGCGGGGAGAAGAGCCAGUGGAAAUGAGCCUUGCACACAGGAGCAGAGCUGGGCCAGGAGCUCACGGGGUCGGGGGGGCAGCGCCCGCAGCAGUGCUGUUGGCUAGCUGGGUGCGUUUGGGCUGCUAUAACAAAGGGCCAGACUGGGGGCUGAAACAAACUUUAUUUCCGGGGCACCUGUGUGGCUCGGUCACUUAAGCGGCCGACUUCGGCUCAGGUCACGAUCUCCUGGACACUGAGUUCGAGCUCCACAUCUGGCUCUGUGCUGACAGCUCCGAGUCUGGAGCCUGCUUCGGAUUCUGUGUCUCCCUCUGUUGCUCUGCUCUGUGUCACUCGGUCUCUCAAAAAUAAGUGAACAUUGAAAAACAAAACAAAACUUUAUUUCCUCAUGGUUUUAGAGACGGGAAGUCCAAGAUGAAGGCGUCAGCAGGACUGGUUCCUUCUGAGGGAGAAUCCAGGCCCCCUCCUGGCUGCUGGUGUCUGUCUUUGUUCCCUGGCUUGUAGAGACAUCACCCCAUCUCUGCCUUCAUGUUCACACGGCCUUGCCCCUGUGUGUGCCUGUGUCCAAAUGUAUAAGGUCACCAGUCAUUGGAUUAGGGGCCGCCCUACUCCGGAAUGACCUCGUCUUGAGCGACCACAUCUAUGACAACUGUCUAUUUCCAAAUUAGAUCACAUUCUGAGGUCCCGGGGGUUGGCACUUCAACUUAGGAAUACUGGAGGAUGCAGUUCAAGCCAUGACACUGGCGAGAAGCCCCCGGGGAGUCUCUGGAGUCCUGAGUGCAAAGCCUUGGGGCCAAAUGCUGUGGAGAAAUGGGGCACCGCCGAAGACAGACUCCCUGCCCUGACAAGGAGAAAGAACUUUCCUUUGAUGUGAAGAUGGCCUGUUCUGGUGUCGUGGAAAGUUCUGUCUGCCCUCCCUGCUCAGGGGAUCAAAUGAAAGAAGGCUUUAUGAAGCUGCCACCCAGGCCUUCCCGAGAGUAGCCAGGCCUCGGGCUGGAGACAGGCCCCGUCCUACCAAGCCGUCCUCUAAACCGUGGGCCUGGCCUGAAGCGUCUCACUUUGGAACUUUUUGUCAGAAGCUGGCUGUGAGCGUCUCACCUAAGAAUGUUGGUUGGCAAACCCUAACUACCUGUAACCACAUCAGAACCACACCCGUAUUCAUGUGGCUUUCUUCCUGAUGCCCGUGUGAACCCGCGAUCUGGCUUGUACGAUGUUAGGUUUCUACCUUCUAGAGGAAUAAAGCAAACCAAAACAUUUAAUGCAAAAAGCCCACUUUGGAAAGUCCGAGGAGUGCGACUAGUGGUGCUUUUUAUCCAGCAGAAAACAGGAGCCAGAGAGCCCACUGGGAGACUGGGUGCAGGGCCCACUGUAAAGCCUGUCCCUGCCGGCAGGCUCUGAGGCCUGAGGACCUGGGGGGGCAGGCGGGGGAGGGGUGUCUGGUGCACCAGGGCAGUAACUUCCUGCCACCUGGAGAGAGAAGUGAAGGAGGGCAGGGGAGAGGAAGAGAGGGAGAUUGGGACGUCCGGGCUGCUAAGCCUUAACUGACCACCCUGAGUGUGCAAAGUUGCCUGCUAAUCCAGCAGCCCGGCCAGGUUUUGGACUCCACCCCCACAGCCUCCCAGCAAAUCCAGGCCCUGG